rnacentral:rRNA from 1 species
GACGAACGCUGGCGGUGUGCCUUAUGCAUGCAAGUCGCACGGAUCCGCAAGGAUUAGUGGCAAACGGCUGAAUAACACGUAAGCAACCAACCCUACAGUGGGGGAUAAUCCGCCGAAAGGCGGACUAAUACCGCAUUCGGGCACCUCUCACAAGAGAGGCGCUGAAAGCCGCAAGGCGCUGUUGGACGGGCUUGCGUCCUAUCAGGUAGUUGGCGGGGUAACGGCCCACCAAGCCGAAGACGGGUAACUGGUCUGAGAGGACGGCCAGUCAGACGGGGAC